UUCGUACAGACACAUCGCCCGGGCUUUGAUAGCCGCGGGCCCGACGCUGACUCAGAGCGAGUAAACUUUCUGUGGCUAUCUGCUUGUUUGUGCUGUUCUUCACAAGCGAUAAGAAGGAAUUCCUCUGUGCUAAAUCUGGAUGGUCGGCCUUCAUUAGCAAUAAAAAAAGGGAAGGAGGUGCAGCACUGGAAGAGGUUACCCAGAGAGGUUAUGGAAGCUCCAUCUCUCAGGGUUUUCAGGACAAAGUCACAGCUGACCUGAUGUAAUGUUGAUGAUAGCCGAAGGGUUCACUAGGUGACCUCCAGAGGACCCUUCCAACCAAUGUAUCUGUGAUUCUAAGUCAGAACAGAUAAAUGAGUUACUGGUACCAAGUGGGAAAGAUCAUCAGCUCACAGAGUCAAGAACUCCUGCAGCUCUCUCUUAAAAAGUAAUGAGAAUGGAUGAGAAGCCAUCCUGAGACAUGCUGCUGUAAUUGUUAUAGGUUAAGAGCAAUGAGAGUGGUCACCAGGACAGCCCCUCUUAUCUUGUAAUCUAAAGCCCUGAAGAUACUUAUUUUGCUGCACUGAGUCCCUGCCUCAGUAAUGUUUAUCUUUUGGCCUGAGAAAAAGUCAUCCGAAGCCUUUAUUCUUCAUAUUAGCUAACACUGCAUCUGAAAAAACAGUAUUACAUCCAUUAGCUACAGUCUGAGUUUGGGUGUACCAACAUCGUUUUCUAGCAAAGACUUGUCAAUGCUGAAAUUAUUAACCCCAUGGGUGAAAAUGCCCUCAAAUGACUGUGGUAACCUUGUGAUUUCAGUACAUGCAGUCCUGCGGCUCUGCUCACUAACUGCACACUGAGGGUGAAUACUACAACUGGCUUUUACGUGGAAUUUAGGCAACUCCUAGGUGCAGCCCAUUGCAAAACCCCUUUCUGAUAGGAGCCAAUGAGAACAAGCUACAACUGCCUUGUGCAAAUUUUUUGCAAUCUGCUAUUGCAUGAACAGUUGGGAAGGUUGAAACCAGAACGAAAGAGCACUCGGGUUUUGCUCCGAUUGCGCUUCCCCGUGUGAGUGCUAGGCAUCUCUCUCUCUUCUGGGGAAUUCUGUGCUCGAUCUCCAUCAUAUAACUUCGGAGCUUGCAACGGGAUCCCGUGCAAAACAGCUGUGCGGAUUGACGGCAGCUAUCUUCUUACAUUUCCCCGACACCGUGUACGGUUUCAGUGCAAGGAGCCAGGGAGCGCAGCGUUGUGAGGUGGUGCCCGGCUUUUGCAAACAAAGGGGAUGGAGGACUCUGUGCCACCUGCUCUGUCACUUGAACAAAUGUUAGGAGUAAAACAAGCUACAAACCGCUAACUGUUUGUUGGAUGAUAACUUUACGCAGCAGCAAUUCCAUCGAUCAUCAAGGUCGGCUUUUUUGCUUUUGUUUCUCAAACGAACCAGUCUCUCGGUUCCAUGCUCCUAUAGGCAAGAUGGUAAAACAGCCAAAGAUGUUAACUGCUUGGUGCCCUGACAGUGAACAGCAUUGCACGCUCUUAUUCGGGGACUGCCAGAGGUGUCCAGAUGUUUCUGCGUUGAACAGCGUGGCACAACACCUCUGCAGGAAUUGGCAGGCAAGAGUGUUUGCUUCUUGACUUGGAUUGAAAGCUUUGGAGUCGGCAAUGUCAGGAAAACAUUGCUACUGCCCGCAAACCAGGGAGCAUCCUGUCGUGUCCAUACGCAUAAAGCUGCACUGUUCGGAAGAAGCGAGAUUGUCUUUCCUUACAGCUCCGACGCUGCACCGCUCUCGACACAGCCUGCUUUUCCCCCCAUUUACCUGGGCGGCUGCUGCUGCUGUUUCUGCUGCUGCUGGGGCUGCUGCAGUCUGGCUGCCUGCGCUUCACCCCUGCUCGGCUGACUCGAAACUCACUCGUCUGCACAUUGCUAAGGAAGAAGAGUGAUGGAGCCGCGUUUUUUCUGUUGGUUCUGGAAGCAAAGGGUUGCGAUGUGUGAUGAAUUUGGGGUU